rnacentral:rRNA from 1 species
GACGAACGCUGGCGGCGUGCUUAACACAUGCAAGUCGAACGGUAAGGCCCUUCGGGGUACACGAGUGGCGAACGGGUGAGUAACACGUGGGUGAUCUGCCCUGCACUUCGGGAUAAGCCUGGGAAACUGGGUCUAAUACCGGAUAGGACUCCGGACUGCAUGGUCUGGGGUGGAAAGCUUUUGCGGUGUGGGAUGGGCCCGCGGCCUAUCAGCGUGUUGGUGGGGUGAUGGCCUACCAAGGCGACGACGGGUAGCCGGCCUGAGAGGGUGACCGGGCACACUGGGACUGAGAUACGGCCCAGACUCCUACGGGAGGCAGCAGUGGGGAAUAUUGCACAAUGGGCGCAAGCCUGAUGCAGCGACACCGCGUGAGGGAUGACGGCCUUCGGGUUGUAAACCUCUUUCAGCAUCGACGAAGCGAAAGUGACGGUAGGUGCAGAAGAAAGACCGGCCAACUACGUGCCAGCCGCCGCCGUAA